rnacentral:rRNA from 1 species
UGAGGAAUAUUGGUCAAUGGACGCAAGUCUGAACCAGCCAUGCCGCGUGCAGGAAGACGGCUCUAUGAGUUGUAAACUGCUUUUUUACGAGGGUAAACUUAGGUACGUGUACCUAACUGAAAGUAUCGUAAGAAUAAGGAUCGGCUAACUCCGUGCCAGCAGCCGCGGUAAUACGGAGGAUUCAAGCGUUAUCCGGAUUUAUUGGGUUUAAAGGGUGCGUAGGUGGUUUGAUAAGUUAGAGGUGAAAUUCCGCUGCUCAACAGCGGCGCUGCCUCUAAUACUGUUGAACUCGAGAGUGGUUGCUGUUGGCGGAAUGUAUGGUGUAGCGGUGAAAUGCUUAGAUAUCAUACAGAACACCGAUUGCGAAGGCAGCUGACAAAGCCACUUCUGACACUGAGGCACGAAAGCGUGGGGAGCAAACA